CCAUAACUGGACCCCACUGAACUGUAAGCUCCACAGGGAUAGAGACCAGGUAUCUAUGAGUACAUUCCUCAGCACCCAGCAUGAUAGAUGUUCAAUAAAAUAAUUGCAGAAUGAAGGAACCAGUUCUUAGGAGGACACAGUAUUUCCUGCUAACUGGACAUAGUGGCGGUUGCCAGGGGAUGUCUUGCUAGAAGACAAGUUUAUCAUUCCCCACAUACCUUUGGGAAGAGACAAGGAUUGCUAGGUGGUGAUGAUAAGAAACGCAGAUUUGUCAAAACCAACCUGUGCAUUUUUUAAAAGUUAAAAACAAUUUUAAAUACAAGUAGAUAUGAGGUUUCAUUAUGUUGCCUAGGCUGGUCUUGAACUCCUGGGCUCAAGCAAUCUUCCCGCCUUGGCCUCCCAAAGUGCUGGGAUUAUAGGCGCGAGCUACCACGCCAGACCCUAAUUGUGCACUUUUGCAAAGGCCCUAUGGGCAGGAGGGAACUCUACCUCAGAAUGGGGAGCAUGUCACUGUCACCUAGGGGACUUCCCUAAACUGUAUAUGCCUACCUGUCCCCAGUUUGAGAUUCUAAUACAUCCCUUGGGGAGAGCAAAGGGGAAUGUUCCCUGUUCCUCCAUGUGAGAAUAUCUGCCAUGGUAAACCACUCUUACUGGUGGCAGGACAUCAUAUUCCUAAGCUGUGUUAGGGCCACAAAUUUAAAGACUAAAAAUAAAACAACGAAAAAAUAAAAAACAACAGCUUUGUAAACCACCAUAAGACUUGGCAUUUGAUUGGGGCUCCUUUACUGCAAUACAGAUACUGGUUAUAUGGCCUACUCAUCAGUAAGUCCUAGGGGAUUCUUGGAGCUCCCUCAGGGCACAAUGGUAGAUGUGAAAGUCUCCAGGUCCCCUGACUUUACCUGUUUUUUUUGUUGUUGUUGUUUGUUUUACAUACUAGGCUUCCAUAUAAUCUCUAAACAAAUGAAAGUUUGAAACUCUGCUGUAAGUGACAACACUACAAAGUGAACAAGUCAGGAUUAAAACUCACUAUCCAAAGUGCCAAAUCACUCAUCCAUUUAGUGGUCAGAACACAACCUCACCCAUGGGCGACCAGAAGCAAAUCUGUGUCUUCUGGAGGUUUCAGUGUUGCUCAUAC
rnacentral:lncRNA from 1 species